UUUAUGUGAAGUACGCUUUCUACUGAGGCUAGCUAACUUUCUAGCUAGCUGUACAGCGCUGUUGACCGCGGAGAUCAUCCUGAAUACGGUGGAGAGAAACCCGAGAGGAAACCGAAGGAGGUUUAAACAGGACCCUGAUUUUGGAAGCAAACAUAAAGACAUUAGCAACCAAACACUGCAGCUGUUCCUCGCUUUGUUCUGGAAGGCCUGAGUGUGGAUAAGAGAUGAGAGAGAUGCAGACGGGUGGAAUAAAGACAAGGAGAACCAACGGAGGAAAUGAGGGUGUGAAAGAGGAAGGGACUGAUGAGAUUAUCAAGCAGGAUGGAGGAAUCUACAACAUUGAUUUAAUGCAUAAAUCAUUUUUCCUCCCAUUUGUCAUGUGGAAAGGACCUGCAGGCAGAACCGGACUCAGUGUGGAACAGUGGUCUAUCUUAAUCCACUAAUGGGUUCCAUGGGGUUUGUGGUGUUGCUGGAACAUUGAUUUAAAGCAUCAUCGAUCUGCCAAUUUAACAAGCCUGAGGCAAGGGAGCACAGAAAUACACUCCCUGUCUCAUCCCCUCUCGGGUACCUGUGGUCUCAUUUUGAGCACUGCAUAAAAUAGUUGUGAGCGAACUUGUCUUAUUCCUUCCUUUAAUCUCC